rnacentral:rRNA from 1 species
CCUACGGGAGGCAGCAGUGAGGAAUAUUGGUCAAUGGCCGGAAGGCUGAACCAGCCAAGCCGCGUGAAGGACGAAGGUGCCAAGCAUUGUAAACUUCUUUUGUCAAGGGACAAAAUCAGGCUCGAGAGCCUGACCGAGGGUACUUGAAGAAAAAGCAUCGGCUAACUCCGUGCCAGCAGCCGCGGUAAUACGGAGGAUGCGAGCGUUAUCCGGAUUUAGUGGGUUUAAAGGGUGCGUAGUGGGACUGUUAAGUCAGCGGUAAAAGCCCGGGGCUCAACCCCGGCGGGCCGUUGAGACUGGCUGUCUUGAGAUGUCGAGAGGUAUGCGGAAUGCGCAGUGUAGCGGUGAAAUGCUUAGAUAUUGCGCAGAACUCCGAUUGCGAAAGCAGCAUACCGGCGGCGAUCUGACGCUGAGGCACGAAAGCGUGGGUAUCGAACAGGAUUAGAUACCCUAGUAGUC